rnacentral:rRNA from 1 species
CAGGCUUAACACAUGCAAGUCGAGGGGCAGCAUUUUAGUUUGCUUGCAAACUAAAGAUGGCGACCGGCGCACGGGUGAGUAACACGUAUCCAACCUGCCGAUAACUCGGGGAUAGCCUUUCGAAAGAAAGAUUAAUAUCCGAUGGUAUAUUAAAACCGCAUGGUUUUACUAUUAAAGAAUUUCGGUUAUCGAUGGGGAUGCGUUCCAUUAGUUUGUUGGCGGGGUAACGGCCCACCAAGACUACGAUGGAUAGGGGUUCUGAGAGGAAGGUCCCCCACAUUGGAACUGAGACACGGUCCAAACUCCUACGGGAGGCAGCAGUGAGGAAUAUUGGUCAAUGGACGAGAGUCUGAACCAGCCAAGUAGCGUGAAGGAUGACUGCCCUAUGGGUUGUAAACUUCUUUUAUAUGGGAAUAAAGUAUUCCACGUGUGGGAUUUUGUAUGUACCAUAUGAAUAAGGAUCGGCUAACUCCGUGCCAGCAGCCGCGGUAAUACGGAGGAUCCGAGCGUUAUCCGGAUUUAUUGGGUUUAAAGGGAGCGUAGGUGGAUUGUUAAGUCGGUUGUGAAAGUUUGCGGCUCAACCGUAAAAUUGCAGUUGAAACUGGCAGUCUUGAGUACAGUAGAGGUGGGCGGAAUUCGUGGUGUAGCGGUGAAAUGCUUAGAUAUCACGAAGAA